rnacentral:rRNA from 1 species
AAUAGAUACCCGGGUAGUCCACGCCGUAAACGAUGAGUGCUAAGUGUUAGGGGGUUUCCGCCCCUUAGUGCUGCAGCUAACGCAUUAAGCACUCCGCCUGGGGAGUACGGUCGCAAGACUGAAACUCAAAGGAAUUGACGGGGGCCCGCACAAGCGGUGGAGCAUGUGGUUUAAUUCGAAGCAACGCGAAGAACCUUACCAGGUCUUGACAUCCUCUGACAACCCUAGAGAUAGGGCUUUCCCUUCGGGGACAGAGUGACAGGUGGUGCAUGGUUGUCGUCAGCUCGUGUCGUGAGAUGUUGGGUUAAGUCCCGCAACGAGCGCAACCCUUGAUCUUAGUUGCCAGCAUUUAGUUGGGCACUCUAAGGUGACUGCCGGUGACAAACCGGAGGAAGGUGGGGAUGACGUCAAAUCAUCAUGCCCCUUAUGACCUGGGCUACACACGUGCUACAAUGGACAGAACAAAGGGCUGCGAGACCGCAAGGUUUAGCCAAUCCCACAAAUCUGUUCUCAGUUCGGAUCGCAGUCUGCUAACG